CGACCUGUGUCAAAGGGAUUACCAAUGAGUUUAAGCAUAUCAAUAAGCGGAGGAAAAGAAACUUACUAGGAUUCCCUAGUAACGGCGAAAUGAACCGGAAAAGCCCGGCUUGAGAAUCGGGCACCAUCGGCGCCAAUUGUAGUCUGGAGAAGCGUCCUCUCGGCGUGAUGGGCCCAAGUCCCCGGAAAGGGGCGCCGGAGAGGUGAGAGCCCGUCGUGCGGACCUGCCGCACCACGAGGCGCCGUCUCACGAGUCGGGUUGUUUAGAAUGCAGCCCUAAUCGGGCAAUAAAUCCGUCCAAGGCUAAAUCUGGCGAGAGACCGAUAGCGAACAAGUACCGCGAGGGAAAGAUGAAAAGGACUUUGAAAAAAGAGUCAAAGAGUGCUUGAAAUUGUCGGGAGGGAAGCAGAUGGGGGCCGGUGAUGCGCCCCGGUCGGAUGUGGAAGGGCGAGAGCAGUUUCGCCGAUCGGCUCAGGGAGUAGACCGACGCGGGUUGUGGCGGCAGCCCAAGCCCGGGCCUUUGAUACGCCUGUGGAGACGUCGUCGCCUCAAUCGUGGGAUCCAAGACGCGCCGUCUCGGCGUGCCCGGCACCCACGUGCUCGGCGUCGACUGCGGGCUCCCAUUCGGCUGUCUUGAAACACGGACCAAGGAGUCGACAUGUGUGCGAGUCAACGGGCUGAAAAACCCGUAAGGCGCAAGGAAGCUGAUUGGCGGGAUCCUCACGGGUGCAUCGCCGAUCGACCUUAAUCUUCGAGAAGGGUUCGAGGAGAGCAUGCACUGUCGGGACCAAAGAUGGUGAACUAUGCUCGAGUGGGGCGGCCGAGGAAACUCGGUGGAGGCCCGCGGCGAUCUCGACGUGCAAAUCGCUCGUCUCGACUUGGGUAUAGAGGCGAAAGACUAAUCGAACCGUCUAGUAGCUGGUUCCUCUCAAGUUUCCUCGGGAUAGCUGGAGCCCUUAGCGAGUUCUAUCGGGUAAAGCCAAUGAUUAGAGGCAUCGGGCGCAACGCCUCGACCUAUUCUCAAACUUUAAAUAGGUAGGACGGUGCGGCCGUGCCGCUGAGCCGCGCCACGGAAUCGAGAACUCCAAGUGGGCCAUUUUGGUAAGCGAAUCGGCGAUGCGGGAUGAACCGAAGCCGGGUUACGGUGCCCAAUUGCGCUAACCUAGAACCCACAAAGGGUGUUGGUCGAUUAAGACAGCAGGACGGUGGUCAUGGAAGUCAAAAUCCGCUAAGGAGUGUGUAAAACUCACCGCCGAAUCAACUAGCCCCAAAAUGGAUGGCGCUUAAGCGCGCAACCUAUACCCGGCCGUCAGGCAAGAGCCAGCCCCGAUGAGUAGGAAGGUCGGCGAUCGCCGCAAAACCCGGCUCGAGCCCAGGCGGAGCGCCAUCGGUGCAAAUCUUGGUGGUAGUAGCAAAUAUUCAAAUGAGAACUUUGAAGGCGAAGAGGGAAAGGUUCCAUGUGAACGGCACUUGCACAUGGGUUAGCCGAUCCUAAGAGACGGGAAGCCCGUCCGAUAGCGUUCAGCAUGAGCUUCAAAAGGAAUCAGUUAAAAUUUCUGAACCGGACGCGGCGGUUGACGGUAACGUUAGGGAGUCCGGAGACGUCGACGGGGCCUCGAGAAGAGUUAUCUUUUCAUUUAACGGCUGCCCACCACCGAAACGGCUCAUCGGAGGUAGGGUCCAGAGCCGGAAGAGCACCGCGACGUCGCGUGGUGUCCGGUGCGCCCAAUGCCCUUGAAAAUCUGGAGGACCGAGUGUCAUCCGCGCCGGUCGUACUCAUAAUCGCAUCAGUCUCCAAGGUGAACGACCUACGGUCAAUGGAACAAUAUAGGCAAGGGAAGUCGGCAAAAUGGAUCCGUAACCUCGGGAAAAGGAUUGGCUCGAGGGUUGGCACGGGUCGCAGCCCGUAACCCGUCGGCUCACGGCAUCGCCGAGCUACUUCCGGCGAGAGCGGGUCGCCGCGUCUUGCCGGGGACGGAUCGAACGGCCUUCGGAGCCUUCCCGGCGAUUUAACAAUCGACUUCGAAUUGGUACGGACAAGGGAAUCCAUUGUUUAAUUAAAACAAAGCAUUGCGAUGGUCCUGCGGAUGCUCACGCAAUGUGAUUUUUGCCCAAAGGCUCGAAUGUCAAAGGAAGAAAUUCAACCAAGCGGGUAAACGGCGGAGUAACUAUGACUCUCUUAAGGUAGCCAAAUGCCUCGUCAUCUAAUUAGUGACGACAUGAAUGGAUUAACGAGAUUCCCACCGUCCUCGUCUACUAUCCAGUGAAACCACGCCAAGGGAACAGGCUUGGCGAGAAUCGUGGGAAAGAAGACCUGUUGAGCUUGACUCUAGUCGACUUUUGAAAUGACUUGAGAGGUGUAGGAUAAGUGGGAGCUCUCGGUAAAUUGAAAUACCACUACUUUUAACGUUAUUUUACUUAUUCCAAUCGGAGAGGGCACGGCCCUAUUUUUGGACCAAGGUCGGCUUCGCCGGCCGAUCCGGCGUAAGACAUUGUCGGUGGGAGUUUGGCUAGGCGGCACAUCUGUUAAAAGAUAACGAGGUGUCCUAAGAUGAGCUCAACGAGAAGUAAAUCUCGUGUGGAACAAAAGGGUAAAAGCUCGUUUGAUUUUGAUUUCGACGAAUACCAACCGUGAAAGCGUGGCCUAUUGAUCCUUUAGACCUUCAUAAUUUGAAGCUUGAGGUGUCGGAAAAGUUACCACGGGGAUAAGCGGCUUGUGGCGACCAAGCAUUCAUAGCGACGUUGCUUUUGAUCCUUCGAUGUCGGCUCUUCCUAUCAUUGUGAAGCGAAAUUCACCAAGUGUUGGAUUGUUCACCCACCAAUAGGGAAUGUAAGUUGGAUUUAGACCGUCGUGAGACAAAGUUAGUUUUACCCUCUCGAUGGCAGCGUCGUAAUAGUAGUUCAACCUAGUACGAGAGGAACUGUUGAUUCGCACAAUUGGUCAUCGCGCUUGGUUGAAAAGCCGCGGCGCGUGGGCUACCGUCUUGUUGGAUUAUGUUGAAUGCCUCUAAGUUAGAAUCUGGGCUAGAAGCGACGACGCGCCGCCGCCCGAUUGUCGACCCGCGAUGAGGGGCCUUUGGCCCCAAGGGCACUGUCGAGGUGCAACGAUCAUGGCGGACAAGUCGUGGCGCCUCCUUGGAGCGUAAUUCCCAUCGAGCUGCAGGUAGAAUCCUUCUGAGCGACUUAAAUACACGAUUGGGUAUUGUAAGUGGCGAGUGGCCUUGCCGCCACGAUCCACCGAGAUCGACCCUUUGUCGCCUGAUUAAU